AUAGCGUAUAUUAAAGUUGUUGCGGUUAAAAAGCUCGUAGUUGAACUUCGGGGUCUACCCAUUGGUCAGGCUUAAUUGUCUGCACUGGUGGGAUGGAUCUCUACCUUCUGAGGAACUUUCAUGCCAUUUAUUUGGUGUGAUUGGAAAUCAGGACUGUUACUUUGAAAAAAUUAGAGUGUUUAAAGCAGACUAUCGUCUGAAUACAUUAGCAUGGAAUAAUGAAAUAGGACGGACUGAUUCUAUUUCGUUGGUUUCGAGGAUCACCGUAAUGAUUAAUAGGGAUAGUUGGGGGCAUUAGUAUUCAAUUGUCAGAGGUGAAAUUCUUGGAUUUAUUGAAGACUAACUACUG
rnacentral:rRNA from 1 species